GGCAGCAGUGGGGAAUUUUCCGCAAUGGGCGAAAGCCUGACGGAGCAAUGCCGCGUGGGGGAACAAGGCCCACGGGUUGUAAACCCCUUUUCCCAGAGAAGAAGUCCUGACGGUAUCUGGGGAAUAAGCAUCGGCUAACUCUGUGCCAGCAGCCGCGGUAAGACAGAGGAUGCAAGCGUUAUCCGGAAUGAUUGGGCGUAAAGCGUCUGUAGGUGGCUUCUUAAGUCCGCUGUCAAAUCCCAGGGCUUAACCCUGGCCAGGCGGCGGAGACUACUAAGCUUGAGUGCAUGUAGGGGCAGAGGGAAUUUCCGGUGGAGCGGUGAAAUGCGUAGAGAUCGGAAAGAACACCAAGGGCGAAGGCACUCUGCUGGGCCGACACUGACACUGAGAGACGAGAGCUAGGGGAGCAAAUGGGAUUAGAUACCCCAGUAGUCCUAGCCGUAAACGAUGGAUACUAAGCGCUGUGCGAUUUUGACCCGUACAGUGCUGUAGCUAACGCAUUAAGUAUCCCGCCUGGGGAGUACGCUCGCAAGAGUGAAACUCAAAUGAA
rnacentral:rRNA from 1 species